rnacentral:rRNA from 1 species
UACGAAGGUGGCAAGCGUUACUCGGAUUUACUAGGCGUAAAGGGCAGGUAGGUGGUUUGAUAAGUCUGUUGUGCAAGCUCCCGGCUUAACUGGGAGAGGUCAACGGAAACUAUCAGGCUUGAGUAUGGGAGAGGGUACUGGAAUUCCCGGUGUAGCGGUGAAAUGCGCAGAGAUCGGGAGGAACACCAAUGGCGAAAGCAGGUACCUGGACCAUUACUGACACUCAGCUGCGAAAGCUAGGGGAGCAAACAGG